UACGAAGGGGGCUAGCGUUGCUCGGAAUUACUGGGCGUAAAGGGCGCGUAGGCGGAUAUCUAAGUCGGGGGUGAAAGCCCAGGGCUCAACCCUGGAAUAGCCUCCGAUACUGGGUAUCUUGAGUACGGGAGAGGUGUGUGGAACUCCGAGUGUAGAGGUGAAAUUCGUAGAUAUUCGGAAGAACACCAGUGGCGAAGGCGACACACUGGCCCGUUACUGACGCUGAGGCGCGAAAGCGUGGGGAGCAAACAGG
rnacentral:rRNA from 1 species